CCAGGUCUCCAUCAGGAUCAGGGUCCAUCUUCCCUUACAGAGUCUGCCCUCCAGGAUGUGGCCUUACACAAUCAGCAUGGUGUCAUUGUCAUCCUGCAGCCAGGUCUGGGGAUCUCCCUCUAUCGCUCUGUACCACACCUUCCGUGGCAAUGCCAGUUGUAGCUCUUCGAAAAAUCCAAAGAAUGCUCCACAAAGCUGGCCUCUAGAGCAGCAGGGUCAUCAGGUGGCAGUGCUGGCACAGCAGGUGGAGUGCAGGGUUUGUGAGACUGCACUUCUUUCCCUUGAAGCCACAUACCGUUUUUCCGGGAUUGCCAUUCCUCCACCUGGACAAGAAGAAGAAAGAAGGAAGCUAGCCUCGGUCCCGUUAGAUUUCAUCCCGAAAACAUGGAUGAAACCGGAGGGCAGGAAGGAUCCAGUCCCAUCAGGAGCCGUGUUGUCAGGAAGAGCUCUCCCAGGUGGAGGAAGAAUGGGGUGGUGGACGCAGGAGGAGACAGGAAGAAGCCAAGGAAAGCCUCCUCCUCCUCCUCCAAAGCUUGGCAGAGCGGGAGAAACGAAAAUUGGGAGAGACUGGCUGGAAAGGUCCACGGUCCGGGUGUCCCUCUGGGCCACUGAAGGAGCCAGAGGGGCCUUGAGCCUGGUGUCUGGGAGAGGCUGCUGCAGGCCACAUUCACUGGAAGGAGGAGGUAAGAGCAGUGUGUCCCCUACAGGGUGUCCUCCUCAGAUGUUUAAAAAGAGAAGGGAAAUAGAUAUAUAUUUAUUAAUUUAUGUGUAUUAUUUCUAUAUAUAUUUACUUCUGUAUAAAGCUCUUUCUUUCUCUGGUGCUCUCUCUUCUUACAGUAGGUAAAAGACUACAAUUUGCCAGACACUGCCUUUGGCUUUAAUCUUUUGGACAUUAUAAAUUACUUAUUAUAUUUGUAUUUCUUUUUUGGGUUGGUUGUUAGAAAGGAUAGGCCCACAUGGACAGGGCUACACUCCCAACAUUUUUCAUACUGCCUCCUUGAGUUAGUUACUAUUUCUACUCUCAUUUUCUUACCUGUUUUUUAAUUAUUCAUGUUUCGCAAAGGUGUAUUACUGUACUGUAUGUUGUUAUGUAAAUCCCCUUAAAGUGUUUCUGGGACUAAUGGGCUGCAACCACAUCAGUGAGAGACUUCAGUAGUAUUACAGAGGGGAGAAAUAGGUACAGGAGGAUAUGAAAAAAGUAUAGACACAUUUUUCAAAAAUACAGGAUAGAGAGGAUUUGGAGGAAUGUGUAAUUUUAGGUGGUAUGAGUGUUGCCAAACCUUGAAGUUCAAAUCAGAGUAAAAUGCAGAAGAGUUCAUGAAUUUUCUUGUUGAGAGAUGGAUGUUCAGGGACAUAAAAGCUGAAUAUCUGAUGUCAGUCUGAGAAAUUAAAAAAAAAAAAGGAAUGUUGAGCAGCAAUCGUUUUGCACACCAGCUAUAGGAAACUGUUCAGCAAGGAAUAUGUAAUACAGGAUUUGCAGAGAGGGCAAAAAUGACACAAUACAUGAUAAAGCAAAAUAAUGACAACUGCUUGGAGAGCCAGUAGUACUGUAUAACUGUUUAAACAUAUAUAAGCUCCAGCAAAUCAUUUAGACCUUCAACAAGGACGUAUUCAAAAAGCAAGAUGAUAAAGUGUCAAAAUAAGGAACAUGUUUUAUUUGCAAGGCUGAACUACUGGUUGAGGCGUAAAACAAUAUUGGGACAAAUACUGGUGUUUAUUCUUUUCUUUUUGUCCUUUUUGGAGUCUGUCAACCUCUAUUUUGAAAAGGAAAGAUAAAACUCCUGUAAGACAGUUGCACUGCAAACUAAUAAUGUGCAUCCCUUCUAUAAUAGAAAGCAUGCAGAAUCACCUUUGGAUCAAAAACGUUUGAGGAAAGGGAUUAAUGAAUUUUGAAAGAGAGCAUGGUUUACAAAAAAAAAGAUAAAAAUGCUCACUGGAGCAGGGACAAUAUAUUGCCUUUUAAAAAGAAAAUAUGCAAUGAUAAUACUGUGAGGAUAAAAUGUCUGAGGCACAAAGAAAUAUAGAAUUCUAUUAGUAGGAGUGAAAUCAUUAAUGACUUUGUUAGCAGUUUAGUUUAUGAUAGAAAACUUCCAUAAAGAGGAAUUUUGAGCACAGAAAGUAAGUAUGUGGGAUGUGGCUAACUCGGAAGGUAACGACUUUUACAGGAAAGAAUAGUUAAGCCAUGAAUUCUGGUUCUGUUGACUGACACGUUGUGAAAUAUUGUCGCAUGUUACCUUAAGGAAC
rnacentral:lncRNA from 1 species